CAGCUCAGUUUUUCUCAAGAUGAAGAGAGGACAUUUCUUAGGAGCAAAGAAAGUUAGUGACAGCAUCUUCUUGCCCCAUCUGCACUUUGGCAGAAGGAGGCCUGUCGAAGAAGGGACAGAGCAUCAAGCCUGAGUUGCUUUUGUGAGAUAAGGAACUAACUCCAGAGCACAAGACCCAUCCACAACCACUUAUCUUGGUAGUACUUGAUUAAGGAGCAAUCCUUUAAAAAUACCAAGUCCUACAAAGUUGCACAUAUAAUCGUAACACAUAGUUGUAGACCUAUUAGGUAUAUGUAUAUUUCAAUCUUUUAGUUUUAAAUUUUUUGCCAUUGAGAAAAAGACAUGUGAUUUUGAUCCCACUUAGAUAAGAUAGUGCCACUCAGAGAAGUUUGUCCUAUGUCAAAGUAGAUAUGAUUUUCACCCCAAAAGAGAAACACAAUCUUUAGAAAUACAGGGACAUUUAUUAGAAAUAAUCAAGAGGAAAGUUAUUCCUAAGUAACAGAUACAAGCAUUUUCUUAUCUCUUGGCUUUAUAGGAGAACAUAAGGUCAGAGAGAAGCUAGUCUCUUCUCCACUGUUAGUCUAAGCCCCAAAUUGAUGAUGAAACUUCUGGAGUUUCAUGUGGUUAUAAUAGGCUUCCCAGGUUAAAAUGCGCACUUAACACUCAGGAGCAGAUUAAUUAUCAAUGUUCACUUAGCUUGUGAAACUUUUGUACUUAGAGACAAAAUUAGAACCAAAAUAAUAUUUAUUUAAACAGAUCAAAAGGAUCUGUUUUACAAUUACAUUUUACUUAUAAUUGGACAGAAAAAUUGAACCACUUAUAGAAACUGCUUUUACAAAUCCUUUAGCCUAAAGUUCUGAAUUAAAGUGUUACUCGAAAGGUAGGAAAGUGACAGUAUGACUUCUGAUUUAAUUUUUGUGCUACCUGCCCUCCCCCAAAAGUUAUUAAGUGAUAAUAACUGUGCAGAAACAGUAACAGACACUUAAGAAAUGGGAAUUCCUUCCUCACUGCUCCCCUUUCUGUAGUGACAGUUAAUUACCAUUUCCUCAGAGUAGGCAGUAGAGAGAGGAUCCAGUGUAAAAGAGAGGCCCAGCUAUUUUCACUCAGGUAUAAGAGACUGAAUGAUUUAAAAUUAUGUCUCUGUUGGGUGCCAGAGUUACUCUCUGCUCAAAAGUAGGAAUGAGCCUGUUUAGAUGCAGCUGUUGUCAUUUAGUACCAUUUGAGUACACUGAAUUUCUUGGACCUAAUGACAAGUACGCUGAAAACUGUUGAUUUAACUUGAAGUCAAUUUAACUUCAGAAUUGAUAAAGCAUUUUAGAAAUUGUAAUCAAAUUAGAAUCACCUUUCUCCUUAUCACUUAUUCUUUCAUAUUCCUCAGAAGAAAAAGAAAAAAAUAUGCUCCAUUGCUGUCCUUAUGAGGAUUGUUCCAUAUGUAAACGUCAGUUCUAACUUUCAGCGGGAAAUGGGUGAGCAGGACUGUGCCCAUACUAUAAGGUAAGAGAGGCCAGUUGAUGCCUUGGUCAAAUUGCACACUGAGCACUUUCAAAUUAGCCUAUCA
rnacentral:lncRNA from 1 species